UUCACUGGGUUAGCCAGGAUGGUCUCGAUCUCCUGAUCUCGUGAUCCGCCCGCCUCGGCCUUCCGAAAUGCUGGGAUUACAGGUGUGAGCCACGGCGCCCAGCCAGGAAUUUAUUUUUUAAAAGCUGUUCUUGGGUUUAUUCUUUUCCUAUAUGCAGCUAAUUUUUCUUUUUUAAUAACAACUUUACUAAAAUAUAACCUAUAUACUAGUAUAUUCACCCUUUUAAAGUUAUAAUUCAGGACGGGUGUGGUGGCUCACCCAUGUAAUCCCAGCAGCAUGGGAGGCCAAGGCAGUUGGUUUUAUAGGGCCAGGAGUUCGAGACCAGCCAGGCUAACAUGGUGAAACACCUCUCUACUAAAAAACAAACAAAAAUUAGCAGGGCGUGGGGGCACCCACCUAUAAUCAGAACUUCUCGGGAGGCUGGGGCACAAGAAUUGCUUGAACCCAGGAGACAGAGGUUGCAGUGAGCCGAGAUCAUGUCACUGCACUCCAGCCUGGCCAACAGAGUGAGACUUUGUCUCAAAAAAAAAAAAAAAUGUUGUGCAGCUAUCACCACUGUCUAAUUUAGAUCCUCUUUCUGCAAAAUUCCAUAUUUAUUAACAGCCACUCUCCGUUCCUUUCUCCUCCCAGGAACUAGCCACUACUAAUCUUCUUUCUAUCUCUAUAAAUUUGUCUAUUCGCAUCCAGGCAACUGUGCCAUGUGACGUGACCUAAUCACAG
rnacentral:lncRNA from 10 species